ensembl:processed_transcript
CUGAUGCAGCAGAUGUGCUAAUUCACUCAACCAGAGCCGGUAGAGACGAAAUACAGCAUAAGAAUCAGAAUAAAGUUAACAUUUACAUCAGGAGACUGUCAGACUCUGAACAUGUUCAUUCUGCGGACGAGAGAAGGACAGAAAUCCCUCCUGUGAAUCUGCCUACAGCAUCAGAUACAGCUGGACCAGAGGAACCACUGGCUGGAAUCAAGUCAAACCAGUUUGCUGGGCUUUUUGGCAAAACCUCCAGGAAAGAGAAGAGUAAAGCUCAAUCCACAAUCAUGCAGACAGAACAGUUAAAGUCAAAAGGUGAGGAUGUGCAGAUUUCUACAUUCUCUGCAGAUGGAAGAGGAGUGGUUUCUGCCGCGCUCAGGAAGAGAUCCCAAGGUGCUCCUAUAGGACGUAACGUGACAGUACAAGUGUUGAACCAAGACAGAUCUCAAACUCCAGCCAGAGUUCAGCCAGAUCCUGCUUUUCCAUUAGGAGAUCCUGGCACUUCUGCAAGUGUGGCAGCUAUAACAGCUGCUACUCUCGCAGCC